GUGAUGCUACAGUUUGACUUUUUAUGAUGCGCUUCAGGAUCACUUGAAAUGUGUGCUGAAGCAGGUUGGAGCGUGCGUCGCGCGCUGUAGGGGUUAAUGAGCGCGCGCGCGUCACAGACUGUCAGCGGACCCAGCUUUCAAAAUGACGCUCUCCUCAGCGAGCGAUAAACGCGUCAGUGAAUGCAACAUGAAGGACCGCACACAAGAGCUCAGACAUGGAAAAGACCCAGAAGAGGUGGACGUGGUGGCCGUCAGUAUUGAAAAGGGUUUCAUGGACGAGUUCUUUGAGCAGGUAGAGGAGAUUAAAGGGUUCAUUGACUCUCUGGCAGAGAAAGUAGAAGAAGUGAAAAUAAACCACAGCGCCAUCCUGGCCUCUCCAAACCCAGACGAGAAAACAAAAGCGGAUUUGGAGGAGUUGAUGACAGAUAUCAAGAAGUUGGCUAAUAAAGUACGCUCCAAGUUAAAGAAUAUCCAGCAGACCAUAGAGCAGGAGGAGGCACUAAACCAUUCAAAAAAUCCAUCAGCUGAUCUGAGGAUACGGAAAACACAGCACUUAACCUUGUCACGUAAAUUUGUGGAGGUGAUGUCAGAAUAUAAUGCAACACAGUCAGAUUACAGGGAGCGCUGUAAAGGGCGGAUACAGAGACAGCUGGAGAUCACGGGAAGAAAUACAACAAAUGAGGAGUUGGAGAGCAUGUUAGAAAGUAACAACCCCUCCAUCUUCACUUCAGGGAUCAUCAUGGACUGCAACAUCAGUGAACAGGCCAUGAAUGAGAUUGAGACGCGGCACAGUGAAAUCAUCAAACUGGAGAACAGCAUCCGUGAGCUGCAUGAUAUGUUCAUGGAUAUGGCCAUGCUGGUGGAGAGCCAGGGAGAGUUAAUAAACAAUAUAGAGAAGAAUGUCUGCAGUGCACAGGACUAUGUGGAGAAGGCCAAAGAGGAAACCAAAGCAGCUGUCAAAGUCCAGAAGACUAGCAGGACGGUGAGAGAGAGCACGAAUCCAUUAUACUCCUCUGAAAUCACCUUUCUCUUUUUCUUCUCUUUCUCUGGUGCUGUCCAUCCGCUGCUCUGGUCAGGGAGAUAUGGUAGACCGUAUAGAGUAUAAUGUGGAUCAUACAGUGGAUUACAUUAAGGAUGCACUGUUAAACACCAAGAAGGCUGUAAAGUACCAGAGUAAAGCGCAAAGGAAGUUGAUCCUGAUCGGCGGUUGUGUGUCCAUCUGUCUUUUCAUCCUCAUCAUCUCUCUAGCCAUUGGAUUGAGCUAACCAAGUGACUCUGGUGUCUGUGCGCUGCUUGUGACAGACAGGAGCUCAGGACCAUCUGUUUGCAUGCUGUAUAAUUCGUGAUACAGCCGAUAGAUUCAGUAGAAAAAAUAAAUAAAAAAUCAUAGACAUGCUGGGUGUGUAAUGCACUGAAAGAUAAAAUGAGAUGAAAGGGCUACGAUGUACAGUGUCUAGAAAAAGUAUUCACGUUCUGUAAAGUUAUUGUUUUACGUGUCAGUUGACUUUUUCUGAAGUUAUCCAUUAUACAAAAUAUUUAAAGAAGGCAGACAAUACCAGUACUGUUUACAGAAGCGGGUGUGAAUUUUAGCACAACACUUCCUUUUUAAUGCUCAAAAAGUGAGAUGUAAGAUGUAAGUAGCUAAACAUUUCAUAUUUGAUGACCCUGAGUUACUAAAUAUUAAAUAUAAAUCCAGGAAUGCAAGCAAUUCAAAAGGAGCUGUUUUCAGCAGAUUAGGCUUGAGAUUAAAAAUGCUUUACUACACAAUAAAUUCUAGUUCUAUAUCCUGUUCAAAUAUUAACAUUCCGGACCCAAAUGUCUACACUGCAGUCAGCUGGACUUUGAUUGCACACAUAUGAUUGUCAUUUAGCUAUUUAUGUCACUGAUAUGAAAUCCAUUUCUUGCACCAGUGAUAUUUUAGGUGGUCCAUUCUACUGAAAGUGAAUACUUUUUAUGUCAUCGCCUCAGUUUGUGUUGUUAUGUACCGCUGUGUGUCACACGUCUGCUCAGCACUGGGGCAUGAUUGUAAAUGGUAAACAGUGUUAUGCGUUUGCUACACUCCUAAUGUUCAAAAUGAUGUCAUCUUGGAGAGCAGUGUUGAGCUAACUGUUUUUUACUCUUAGAACUUGACAUUUAACAUCAGACUACACUUACAUUAACCAAACCGAACAGAUCGCAUCAGUGUAUAAGUUUUGUAAAUGUAUCUGUAACAUGUUAUGUCACAAUGAAUGAAACCCCCAGCUUCCUCAAACUGCUCUCCAUGAAUCUUUAAACAUGCAAUGAAAUUUCUGCCCCGGUCUUCUACUUUUCAUGCUGCCUGGAAUGUUUUCUCCAUUUUUAUCUUGAUUUUUUUUUUAUUUUUUCUUGAACUCUUCCAAAUACAGAAGAAAACCACAAUUAUUAUCUGUUGUGUGCUGCUUGGAAUCGUUGUUGCUUCUAUCAUCGGCGGCGUGUUGUCCUGAAUGACGCACAUACAGCAUGAUGUGUUCAGAGCGGAUAAUAAAGAGGAUGUUUGUUUGUUUCUAUGUGAGGCUGGACUGAACUACAUGGCUUGCACUAGGCAUCAGCUACUGUCGACUCAUCAAACCUGAGCAAAAGUCAUUUAGUGCAUCCUAGCCUUUAUUCUGGCUAUUGCAGGUCAUAUAUGUAUUUUCUCAAGAAUUCAAACACAGGUUGCCUCUGAACAAAACAAAAUGUAUCAUCUGUCAUUGUGAUACUUUGAGGCUCUUUGAAGCAAACCAAUUCUCAAUCUGUAGUGAUAAACAGACAGCAGUGUGUGCCGUUAUCAUUAAUAACCCACUAGUCUUUUUUAAAUCGAAGAUUUGUGUUUGUUUUAUUCUGUUGUUGCAAGUAAAGUUCCAGUUUAUUCACACCUCA